AGAAAAGUGGGUCCAUAUGUGCCCCGCGCGUACUCCGACGCCCAAAGACACGCGCGCGCUGCGAUAAGCAAGUUACAAGGAUUCCACCCUCCAGUGCUCUCUACAACCUGGGGCUGAGGACGCUGAAGCCAAACUAAUUUUGCAAAUACACCUGCAUCCGGGUAGGGUAGAGAACAUCACGUUCUGAAUUGUACACGUCAACAAGAAAAUUUACAGCAUCGCAUCAUCAGAUUUAUUAAUGGAGAGCACCUAGUUUACUACCCUGGAGCUGAUGGUCUCUUGGGAGAAAGACCAGGCAUAAUGUAACAAUUCAUUGUGGUCAUUUCCUCUGUGUGAUGGCACUGGGGGUUAUUCUUCUGCAAGGAAAAUGAGAAGUACGAAGAUUUUAGAUGGGCAUAAGAAAGUAUAUAAAACCCUAAUCAGGAAUAGUUAAAGCUCUACAUCAGAUACCUCCUAUUAAUUCACAUGAGAUGAACAAAAACAUAAGAUUUUACAAAAUAAAGAAGUGGCGUGUCAGAUUGGCGUCUGCCUGGUGUCUGCCCACACUGGCAAGCUUCCUGAUUCCAGGCACUAAAUGGUCAGUUUCACUCAGAGGAGCCACCUUUCUCUGCUUCCCUGUGUGGUCAGACAGAAAUUAAAUGAAAUUAAAUGAAAAUUUUUAAAAAAUAAGAAAAAAUAAGAAGCACAGUAAAUUGUUGUUUAGAAAAAAUAUUGAUGAUGCCUAAUCAAAAUACAAAAAAUAGCAUCUAGUACUAUAUCCUGCUAUAUUAGUCAUAGUUCUAUGCUUUAUCACAUAUAAAAAUAAUCGCUAAUGUUUACUAAACAUUCACCACGUGCUAGCCACUGUUCUAAGGACAUUAUUAUGUGUUAACUCAUUCGUUCUUCACAUAAUCCACAAGGUAUGUGCUGUUAUUAUCCUCCCUGCUUUAUCUGGGGGCACAAAGACACUAAUUGUCUUGUCUGAGAUUACUCAGCUAAGUGGAAGCUGAGGCCAGAGGGACCCAGGCAGGCGUCUGAAGACGCCCUGUGCCCUUAGUACCUCCAAGCAGAAGAUGUGUGUUCUGAUUAAGAGACUUUAUGGUAGCUCACAGAUGUCCAAACGAGCUUUCAGACAUGACUAGCAGCUCCCUUUUCUUACUUUCUAGAACAAAUUAUACUUUAAUUAUCUAUAGAACAAAAUAACUUUAAAAUUUGACAUAAUUUGUCUAUUGUAUUAAUUUUUCCAUCUAAAGAUUAAUGGUUUCAUAUGAAGUAUAACCUUUUGUGAAUAGAAACAAUAAAUGGCUUCUUUUGGUGGGUUUUUUUUUUGGAAUAGCAAGAAUAAGAUUAUAACAAUGUUAUACUAAAAUGUAUAAAGGUUUUAAACUACUGAUAAAUGUCUAACAUUGGUAAUUUGAUCACAGCACAGCUUCAUUAUAGAAAUGUCAUCUUGGGUCACCUCUGGACCAACCUCAACACAUUAGAUGAUCAUGAUUCUAAAGUCAUAGUGAGCCACCGUUGGCAAUGGUCAGUAGCAGUUCGUUUGGAUCAAAAACAAUAGAGCUGGCCAUAAUUUUAGGUUUCUUGUUCAUUCAGAUCUAACGUAAUAAGUUUAAGUUGUAUCUAAAAUCUAAAUGAGAGAAUUUGCAUGAGUUUUUAAGUGCCAAUUUUUUAAUGCAUCUGGUGCUAGAAAUUGAACCCAAAGUCUUGAAUAGGCUGCUCAAAAUGCUGUGCCAUUGAAUUACCCACAGAUACUAUCUGAUCUUACAAUAUUAUUUUUACUUUCUGGUAACUCAUCAUGAGUUUUUUGAAAUUCCAAUCAUUUUCUCUUUAUUCAAGAAAAUAUGGUUCCCUCUAAAAACUUUAUUCUCAUGAUGGUCAUACCUAAGAAUUUAAAUGAGCUACAAUAAAUGCAGCACCUGCCUUCAAAUGCC
ensembl:processed_transcript A430035B10Rik RIKEN cDNA A430035B10 gene